AAGUCGUAACAAGGUUUCCGUAGGUGAACCUGCGGAAGGAUCAUUAUUGAAUAUUCCUGAUGAGUUGUAGCUGGCUCUUUGGAGCACGUGCACGCUUGUCUUGAUCUUAUUCAUCCACCUGUGCACAUUUUGUAGUCUUUUGGGCUGAGUCGAGUAUCGGAUGGAUGUCUAUCCGGAUGUGAGGACUGCUGAGUGCGAAAGCAUACGGCUCUUCUCUGUUUGACCUCACCCUUGAGUACUAUGUAUUCAUAUACCACAUAGUAUGUUGUAGAAUGUGAUCAUUGGGCCUUUGUGCCUAUAAUAAUCAUAUACAACUUUCAGCAACGGAUCUCUUGGCUCUC
rnacentral:misc_RNA from 1 species